AGGUAACGAAAGGCAAGCUGUGGCAAAACAAGUUCUACCCCCUCCCCUAAAAAACAGGCAGGGGUGGGGGGAUCCAGAGGCCUCUAUUAAAUGAGUAUAUAAAGCAAUUCCUCAGAGCAAAGGCACAGGUGUACAAGAUGACUCUGGAAAAGCAAUUGGAAAUUCCCUGUGGCCGCUGUGUAAAUCCCCUUCAUUCAGAGGUCAGCGGUUGGUGUUUGUAGCUAAGGAGCGUCUUCCACUGGCUACUCUGGGUGCUUCUGUUUAUAUGACAGUUUUUAUCCUGGUGCUAAGAGAACCCUGUCAGAUGAAGUGUAAGCCACAUUUACCUGUGUGGCAAUAUAAGAAGACAAGCAGGGAAUGGAGCCGGGGGAGUGAGGCCCUGAACAAAACUCUUGUAUACUUUCCAAGUAGACCAGAACAAAGCGAAAACAGACAAAACCUCAGCGAUGCCAUCAGCUGGCCUUACAAGCCUUCCAUAUGAAUUCAAUAACCAGACCACAAAUGGAUGAGUGAAAUGCUUUCUAACUGCAGAAAGAACUCAAACCGCAAAACAUUUGCCCAUUUGACUCAGCUGCAGCAGAAAUGCAAAGCAAUAGGCAUCUGGAAUUAAUCUUCACAGGAAAAAAAAUAUAAUUUUUUGGACUGAGAUUAAGCAUGAAAACUUUAAUCCUCAACUAAUUAUUUACAUGGUUAUAAAGGAAAUGAAAAAAGGCAGUUCGAAUGGAAUAGUUCUGGCAGCCUUAUUUAUGGCUCUGUGGUACCUUUGAUUCACUGCUUUCCAACGUCAAUAGAGCUGAAAAGGUCUUAAUGUAUUAUAAAUGAACAAUGGAACUAAUCUCACAUGGCACCAUUGCCAAUUUCCGUAAGAGAAAUGUAUGUGGACUAAUAGAAUUCACUCCAUAUUGGAAGCUCUGUUAAAAGAAAGUCGAAGAGGUACUGUCAGUUCAAAAGUCGUACGGCAAAUCUGAGAAGCAGCAUGUGAUCUUUUGGACUGUGAGGCAUGAAUAUAUAUUCUGGAAGCACUUGACUUGUAGGCCUAGUCACUCUCUGGUGGCUAUCACACAGAGAGCCUUCAAACACUGCAUUCCAAUAUCAGUGUACCAGUCAGUCAUUGGUGUUCUGCCUUCGGUGAAGAUGUCUUAGGCUGGUAGCAGAAAUGUGCUAACUAGGCUAUGCUAACUCUGGCAAAAGACAGAACCCCUUGUAGUAGUAACAGUACCAAUAUGAAGCUGUCAUCAUACGAAGGCCAUUGACUGAAGCUUUUCAAGUUGUUGUGGUGGUGGUGGUGGUAGUGGUGUGUGUGUGUGUGUGUGUGUGUGUGUGUGUGUGUUUAAAUCAAAGGGAAUGAGCUGACUUUUAUUAUCUUCUAGGCAGAGCAUUUGGUCAGUGAGCAGCCCACAUCUAAAACUAAAUACAGAACUGUAUCUUAACCAGUUCAAUUGUUGUGGGGAAGCCGGUGGAAAGGUUUGCAUCUGUUAUGU
ensembl:lncRNA